rnacentral:rRNA from 1 species
AGCAGCCGCGGUAAUUCCAGCUCCAAUAGCGUAUAUUAAAGUUGUUGCAGUUAAAAAGCUCGUAGUUGAACUUCGGGGUUUACUCAUUGGUCAGGCUUAAUUGUCUGUACUGGUGAGAUAAAUCUCUACCUUCUGAGGAACUUUCAUGCCAUUUAUUUGGUGUGAUUGGAAAUCAGGACUGUUACUUUGAAAAAUUAGAGUGUUUAAAGCAGGCUAACGUCUGAAUACAUUAGCAUGGAAUAAUGAAAUAGGACGGAUUGAUUCUAUUUCGUUGGUUUCUAGGGUCACCGUAAUGAUUAAUAGGGAUAGUUGGGGGCAUUAGUAUUCAAUUGUCAGAGGUGAAAUUCUUGGAUUUAUUGAAGACUAACUACUGCGAAAGCAUUUGCCAAGGAUGUUUUCAUUAAUCAAGAACGAAAGUUAGGGGAUCGAAGACGAUCAGAUACCGUCGUAGUCUUAACCAUAAACUAUGCCGACUAGGGAUCGGACGCAGUUAAUUUUAUAAUGACGUGUUCGGCACCUU